AUUGAACGCUGGCGGCAGGCCUAACACAUGCAAGUCGAACGGUAACAGGAAGAAGCUUGCUUCUUUGCUGACGAGUGGCGGACGGGUGAGUAAUGUCUGGGAAACUGCCUGAUGGAGGGGGAUAACUACUGGAAACGGUAGCUAAUACCGCAUAACGUCGCAAGACCAAAGAGGGGGACCUUCGGGCCUCUUGCCAUCGGAUGUGCCCAGAUGGGAUUAGCUAGUAGGUGGGGUAACGGCUCACCUAGGCGACGAUCCCUAGCUGGUCUGAGAGGAUGACCCGGCACACCGGAACUGAGGCACGGGCCAGACUCCUACGGGAGGCAGCAGGGGGGAAUAAUGGACAAUGGGCGGAAGCCUGAUGCAGGCAAGCCGCGGGGAUGAAGAAAGGCUUCGGGUUGUAAAGUACUUUUAGCGGGGAGGAAGGGAAUAAAGUUAAUACCUUUGCUCAUUGACGUUACCCGCAGAAGAAGCACCGGCUAACUCCGUG
rnacentral:rRNA from 1 species